rnacentral:lncRNA from 1 species
CACACGUGUGACCGAAGCUGGCAAGUGGACACCUCUGAGGCUCGGAAGAGGUAGGAUUCCCGCUGGGUCAGGGGCUCAGGGCCGGGAGAAAGGGAGGCACCACCUGGGAAGGGAGGUGAGGAUCCGGAGUCGGAUCCUCAGGAAGGAGACAGAGAAGCGCUCACUCAGAUGGAGGGAGGGUGCUGGAGUGCAGAGGGAGUCUAGUACCUAGGAAGCCGUUGGUUAGCCCCUUCGGGGCUAGGAGUAGUCCUCCUCACCAGCUCCCCCCGGGAGUUGCUCCUCUGUACUGUCCCCGGGGUCCUGGAACGAUUCGGGUCCACAGCGUUACUGCGACUAGGUGACUAGGUGCGAAGCCUGGCAUUCAUUCUCAGGGAAGCAGGCGCUCCACCUUAGGUGGUGUGCCUAUUAAGGAGACCUCGAGUUGUUUUCAGGGUGCCAGAAUGACUCGCGCUCACUUGCACCCCAUCUGUCGCUAAGACUCCAUAAAUACAGGAACCAGAUACAUUCCUCAGGCCGGGAAGUCUGAUAAUGAGAGACGGUUGAUAACAGCUCCUCCAGGCCAUCGUUUGGCCUCCGCUUCUAAAAGCCAAGAGUAAAGCCUUGGCCUUAGCAAGGAGAGCCUGAAAGUGGGGGCACCUGCCUGAAUCCAGAGGGACUGAGUGGAGACAAGGCCCACCGUAAUGGGAAAAAAAAAGAUCUGUACUUCAGCAGGGAAAGGUGGGGCCUCAUAAAAUGGAACUUUAAAAGCGUAAGAGCAGUUGCCUCGCCUAAGGUCUCAGCAACGGCUGCUGCUUGCUGCUUCGUUCCAUCUUUCCUGCCCCCCACACACUGCUCCCCCUGUCGCCCUUCCCUGGGUUCUAUUUGACUUUGGGAUUAGCAUAGUUAUCAAAGCUGGGAAGGCAGAUGCAUUUUAUCUAACUACACACCUAUCUAAAUAGCUACUAUGGUUUAUUGUUCACAAGCAACCUACGCUUUCGGUUUUUUUGUCAAUAUGAGCUUUCUACGCAGUAGAGACUGGAUUUUGAACGCCAAAGAGGCAGCUCUUUAUGACAGUUUGUUGGCUUAGUAAUAAUGUGGUCACCUGCUGUUCUAUAGUCUCCGGAAAAGACAAGAGACGGAUAGUACCGCUGCACUGAAUAGGAACCACUGUUUUAACAAAGGAUGAGCAUCGAGCAAGGUUUUAUCUGGUUGCACAGUACCUGUAAUAGUAUUACAGAAACCAAACGUUCUUCCCUCUUACCAAAGAGCUUCAGUUUGCUCUUGUUUAGGAAGGUGGAAACAGGUACCAUGGCGGCACUUUCCUUUGUAUUCUGUGGUCCUUUCCCCUGCCUUCCUGGUGGAUGCUGCCUCUGAUGGCCAAGCUGAAGCUGUUGAAUCUCACGGGAUGCAUCAGUCACUGUAUCUGGUGUCUUCCCUGAAAUGUUUUUGGCUAAAGCUAUGACUUAAUCUUAGCAAAUGUUACUUUGAGGUGAGCACUGGAGAGGAGAGAGAUUAAGAGGAUUUCUGAGUCUUCCCAUUACUUCAGGAUGGUAUCAGCUUCAUGCUCAGUUGUACAAAGUGCAGACACCAUGUAUGAUCAAGAGACGAUCAAAGGUUAUCACUCUUUUGCUUGUUGAACACAGUAGGUAAGGACAGCUUUGCCACUUAGAAAGCUACCUUCAUAGCUGAAGUACCUGAGAUUGCAAAACUUUUUAAUUAUAGGGAAAUAAGUCACUGGUAUGUUAACAAAAAAUAGGUAGCUAUAUAAAAACAUUUCAUUUCCAUAUGUUUUACAGAUGGUCAUAAGACAAACAAUAAAUUGCUUACAACAUUGCACCAUACUUCAGUGAAAAAUCAGAGGACACACACACAUGUACUGAACUCUGAACUUUUCUACCCUUUUGACCACCCAGUUCCUUCUUCCUAGCCUUCUCUAGAGCUAGAAAUGAAAACAGAUUAAAGUUUAACUCUUUAGGUUUCUUUUAUUGACAUCCUUUAAAAGUAGAUGAGCACAAGGCCCAUAUUAAGAGACCUGAAGAAAAUUGAAAAAGUCUUUCAGUCACCUGGAUGUGGUGCAGAGUUAUAAUGUAAUGGCAAGCCACAGUGGUCCACAGCCAGGAGUUGGAUCUCACAAAGCAUCAUCAGUAUCUUGUGGGUAGGACAGCAAAAUGGUGAUUUAGAGACCACGGCAUGACUUAUGUACUAGGAGAUAAGAGAAGGAUCGCUAGUCCCUAUGCAAAGACACUGAAGUCAAGCCAUUUUGUACCUGUUCAGUGCUGUCCAGUUAUGAAAUGGCAGAGCCAAGCUCCAACUAGAAUGUUUCCCAGAAUAUUCCAGUUCAUACUAGGUUAUUUUGUACAAUUAUUUUAAGUUUUAUGAUAGAUUAUAAUUUGUUUCUCCUAAACAUUCAUAUUCAUUUUUAUAUAUUGUUUGUUCUUUGAGAAUUUCACAAAUAUAUCCAAUGUCUUUUGAUCAUAUACAUCCCACAAUUUCCUCCCUCCAACUCAUCCUGGACUACAACACACACACACACACACACACACACACACACUUUCCCUACCAAUCUCAUCUCUUUUCUCCUUUUUAAAAAAAAACCUACUAAAUCAAAUCAGUAUUCCAACCAUUCCUAUGACUGUGGUGCCAUUCACUGGAGUGUGAACCAUCACAGCCCUGAAGGAAAAAAUGACAAAUCCUCCCCAAGUGGAGCCCAGUAGCCAUUGACUGCCAAUAGCUCCACAGCUAAGAAUGGUAUCCCAUGUGUCCCUCUGCUGCCCAUUCCGGAAUGUUGAUUGUCUUGACCUUGUGCAGGUCUUCAAGUCUUACACAGGUAACCAGUUACUGUGAAUUCAUGAGUAGCAGC